GAUUUUGGAUCCAAGCAAUUUAGUCAACAAUUGUGAGGGAAUAGAUCUUAAAAUUUUAGCUAAUUUCAUGAAGAGGAUUUUGGUUAUUCCCACAUUUAGUUUAUUUCUCAGUACUGUUUUGGUCUCGAUCCAAAAUGCUCCUAAUUAUGCUUCUCAUGCAGUUCUAUUUGAAUGAAUCUCGAGAAAGUAUUAUUAAGUUCUUGUUAUCUGCAAAUUUUGAGUAUUAUUAAGUUCUUGUUAUCUGCAAAUUUUCAGUUAUUGGCUUGUAAAUGCUUAGUGUUAUAAAUUUCAGUUAUAAAUUAUAAUAGUUUUUUUUUUGUGUGUGUCUAUUGAAGAGCUGGAUAAGUGUCUAUGCUACUUAAAUCACUCUUUAUUUGUUAAAUAAGGAUGCUGUGUCGUUUAUCCUAAAAUAACACCACAUAAAGAAACUCCAUACGCGAAAUGGGAAUUCAUUGGAUGAAUAACCAAGAACCCGAUGUGCAAAGAAAAUGAGCCAUGGUUGUUUUUGUCUAUCAGCUGUUGAGAAGCAAUGCUCAAUGAAUUUAUAUUGCUCUGUCCCUGGUCUCCAAUCAUGCUCAGUGUCAGCUACACAAAAGCUGAACAUGCCAUAAUCAGUUGAAUACCUGAAAAAGAACAGUAAUGGACUUUAUGAUCAGUAUUCUGAUUAAUGCUAUUUGAAGCCGCAUCAAUGGAGUGAUUAUAGGUUGUCUUUGGUGAUAUCUUUGAUCUUUUCGGAACCGCUCCAGAUUCAACUGCAGGUUUCUCUUGGAUCUCUCUGUCAACAUGAAUACAAAUUCAUCCGAGGCACAUCCUGGAGCAAAACAAUUUCGUUACAAACCUGUACCGUGUUUUGAAAACUUGCAAAUCAUUUAUGGGAAAGACAGGGCUGGUGGUUUAUCUUCUGAAACUAUCAAAGAAAGACGUGCUCGCAUAGAAAAUGAAAGAGAUGAA